AACGAACGCUGGCGGCAUGCCUAACACAUGCAAGUCGAACGAUGCCUUCGGGCCUAGUGGCGCACGGGUGCGUAACGCGUGGGAAUCUGCCUUUCGGUUCGGAAUAACUCAGGGAAACGUGUGCUAAUACCGGAUAACGUCGCAAGACCAAAGAUUUAUCACCGAAAGAUGAGCCCGCGUUGGAUUAGCUAGUUGGUGAGGUAAAGGCUCACCAAGGCGACGAUCCUUAGCUGGUCUGAGAGGAUGAUCAGCCACACUGGGACUGAGACACGGCCCAGACUCCUACGGGAGGCAGCAGUGGGGAAUAUUGGACAAUGGGCGAAAGCCUGAUCCAGCAAUGCCGCGUGAGUGAUGAAGGCCUUAGGGUUGUAAAGCUCUUCUACCCGGGAAGAUAAUGACGGUACCGGGAGAAUAAGCCCCGGCUAACUCCGUG
rnacentral:rRNA from 1 species